UAUUUAAAUAGCUUAAUCAAAAAGUAUUGUAUUGAAGAUACAAGGAUAGAAUAAUUUCUUUUAAAUAU
rnacentral:tRNA from 1 species